UCUAUAGGACUCUGAAGACCAAAACCCCAAUGUAGAAAGAUGGGGAGAGUGAAAUCAGAAACAUCCAAGAAUGGACCUUGCUUUCAGAAGAAAUAACAGUUUGCAGUUAGCAUUAUAUGCUUUGGGUAAUUAAUUUCAUAAGUCAAGGUGUUAAGCUAGCAUUCCCAAACUGAAUCCUGAGGAAUUCUUGGAAUAUUAUAUAAGGAAAGAAGAAUCCUAUGGUCAAAAUACCUGAGAAACCUUAAACUGAGCAGAAGAAGCUUGAUCAUUGGUAAGAAAAUACGCCGGAAAAGAAGGAGAAGCUUUAUGUCUAAACUCUCAUUCAUUGAGCAACCACAUAAAAGUAAAGAUUUCAGAAGAGGAGAAAUUCUAAGUGAUGAAAAGGCCCAGAAUAUGCCCUUGGAAAUUAAUGGCUAGAGUGGAGAUGAAGGUUACUGGAGUAUAAGAGAUCAAGAAAUGGAUUGGUUUGGAGGCUGGAAAUCCAAGAUCGUGGUGCCAUCCCAGUCAGUGUGCUUUGGAGGCCUCCCCCACUGAGAGUGAAGCCUAGGGCUCCUCCAAUUGCAUCUGCAAGAGCUCGGGACUGCUCUAACCAAUAGGGUGCAGCAGGGUGAUGCUCUGUGACUUCUGAGGCCAGCUCACAAAAAGACAACAGCAUUCAGCUAGCUCUCUCCUUAGGAGGUUUGUUCUGGGAAAGCCAGUUAUCAUGCUAAGAGGAAGCCUAAACUCACCACACAAGAGACCACAAAGUUUCACCUGGAGAGAAACUGAGGCCUUCAGCCAAUAACCAGCAGCACCUAUUGGACAUGUGAGUGAAUGACACUUUAGAUGAUUCCAGUCCCCAGCCUUAGAGCCACCCUAUCUGCUGCCAAGUGGAGCAAAGAUGAGCUACCCAUCUACAUGCAGCUAUAUCUCUUUGGUCCACAGGGCUCCAGAAGCUGAAACUGAGGAAUCACCCUAGAGAAGUGUUCUACUCUUGGAGACCGGAUUUAGAUGAUGAGAUCCCAGACUUUAAGCUGAGGCUUCAAUGGGAUGAAAUCUGUAGGGCUAGAGGGAAGGCAUGAGUAUAUUUUGCAUGUGUGGGUAUUUGAAUUGUUAUGUCCAGAAGACAGAUUAUGGCAGAUGUUAUUUCAUACAAGCAACAAUGUCUCCAUUUCCAAUAGCUUACAAUGUGAUGGCUCCUCCCACUGAAAGGUGAGGUCUUUGUUCUCUCCCCUUGAGUUGGGGCAGUGGCUUGUGAUUGCUUCAACCAAUAGAGUAAGGCAGAAGGGAUGCUACGUGACAUCCAGGGCUAGAUCUUUGCGGGACCUUGGCUCCUCUCUGAGAAAGCCUCCUAUCAGGCUGUGAGAAAGUCCAAAUUAGCCCAGGUAGAGAGAACAUGUAGAGAGGCCCCAAGAAGAGGAACAGAGGCCCCAGCCAAUAUCAAGGUUGAGUAAAGAAGCCUCCAGAUGAUUCAGGAUGCCUCAGCUGCUGCCAUGUGGGACAGAGAUGAGCUAUAUACAUCAAGCUUUGUCCAAAUUGCAGGUUCAUGAACAACAGAUAAAUUCUGUUUUUGUUUUGAGCCACUAAUUUUGGGGGUAACUUGUUAUGCAGCAUUAAAUUGCCAUAACAAAGGUAAAUCCCUGUAUCAGAAGGCAGAGUCUGGCAUUGGGAGGUAGAAUCCGAAAUUAGAGUAGAGCCCUGAAAUGGGAAACACCUUAUGCGAAGGUUAAGCCCUGUAUCAGGAGGAAGAAACACAAGAGUUAUGGUCUGCUCUGUACCCCUCACUGGGAGACCUGGGACAAGACAUCUGAAUGUCUCAAGGUCUUAGGUGCGUCAUCUGAAAAAAAGACAUGAUAACUUCUUUCACCGAAAAGGAGAUACUCUUGAGAUUACGUUAGAUUCUGCCCCAGACUUUGUGAUUCUAAAUUGCCAUUUAUUCAUUCAAAUACUCAUUGUGACCUGAAACUGUGAUCAAACUUAGAAUUUAUUUCCAAAUGGAAAGCCUCCACUGAGAAAUAGGGUAGAAAAAUAGCAUCAGUAGUAGUAAAAAAAAAAAAAAUCUCAUCACUUCCUUUUUGUGUCUUCUAAAAUAUUCCCCCACCAAUCUUCACCAUACUCUGUUCAUAUGUACAUCUUUAACUGAGGUUACUCUUAAAGGAUAAGAGAAAAUACAAAUGUGUAUAUUUUCCUUUCAAAAAAGUAGCAGCAAAGAAUGAAAUUAACUCUUCUCUUUUGCAAUUAGUCCCUAUGCUACUAAGAAAACAUCCUCAUUUUUUCUGAGUUCUUGUAAAUAAUAUCCUUUGCAAGCAAAGAUCUUCAUUCUUAAGUACAAAGCAAUAUUUUCAAAAAACUAAUUUUCCAUCUGAAGAUUUUAUUUUAUUUUAUUUUUUCAAUAUAUGAAGUUUAUUGUCAAAUUGGUUUCCAUACAACACCCAGUGCUCAUCCCAAAAGGUGCCCUUCUCAAUACCCAUCACCCACCCUCUCCUCCCUCCCAC